GUGGACAAAGCUAGUCAUAAGAAGACUAGUACAAGAGAGUGGGAUGCAUUAUCCAACAAGAUAAUCAAUAAUAUGAUUAUUUUCUCGAUAAACAUAUAAAAUAAUACGGACCUCCCAAGUUCGAUGGAGAAACUCGCAAGCAUGGUGGAUCGUAGACGAGCGGAGGUGGUCACUAUAACAGAUCCAACGAACGAGAAUUUAGGCCUGCCAAUUGGAAGAAGGGGAGAAAUCAUAAUACUUUAGAAUACUUGAUUAGAAAGUAUAAAACUCAAAACACAUUUGAUUAGAUUCAAUAAAACCAAUCACAAUGGAUAGUACAUGAAAUUACAGUAAUCAACCUCUCAACACACUAGAAUGUGUAAAUCCCGGUUGGGGCUAGAUUAAGGCUUUCUGAAAGCCCAACCCCGAUGCUCCAAAUUCUACCACUAGCUGAAAUGGUUUUCGAAGUUUUUCACAAUUUCAUAUAUGAACUUGAAUUUUUUUAAAAACAUAUAAUCAGAUUGAAAUGACUAAGAGAGUAAAUUGUUUAGAUCUUCAUAAUCCGAUGAACUAAUUGAAUCUGAUUCUUACAAUCCUUUAACUAUAUAUUCUAUUAUUAUCGAGAUUAUCAGUUCAACAGGACUCAAAACUAUAUAAAUUAAAAAAAAAAUCAAAUCAUAAACAUUAGCCAAUUUUGCAUUGAUGAUGAAGAGACCUCUAUCUCCCAUCAGCUGCCCCAAUUUAUUUCACUCGUCCAAAAAAUUGUGGUAGUUCUGAUGAAGAUAUCUUCAUUCAUUUCUAUAGUAUUUUUUCCCCAAUUUUUUCCGCCGGAGGAUGUGAACAAUUGUCGUUUGACUUUUCCCACUGUCCACAUCUUCUGACUACUGACAAAUGACAAUGACCAGCUUGCUGGUUUAUGUGGGACCCUGGCCAGUCGAGAAUUACAAAAUUAUUGUAAGGGUUAUUAGGCGAUAUUUCAAAUAUUAUGUUAUUCGAAAUAUUGUGAUAUUAGAUGAAAUAGAUAUUGAUAUUAAAUUAUAAAUUAUAAAUUUGAUAUUAUUAAAUGAAAUUAUUUAAUUACAAAAAUAUCAUUUUUUUUAUCAGGACCCUCUUCACUCUAUCACCUUCUACUUUCUCUUCCCUCUUUGUUGAAUUGAAAAAUAGAGUUUAAUGAAUCACCCAAGGAGAGAUCCUAACGAAACAAUUGGGCAACAAUUAGAGGGGAAAAAGACGAUACAAUUGGAUAACAGUUAAUCUCUUUCUUUAAAAUUAAUUACUUGCAGUUUAUUAGUUAUACAGAAAGAGAAAUGACGGAGGAAGAGAAGAGAGGAAACAACCUUCAUCAUGGAUUUCAAUGGAAGAGGGGGAGAGUUGUUUCUGCCCUCGCACCUGCUAUCAUCGAUUUUUUAUUGUUUUCUCACUGCCUGAUUUGUGCUUCCGUUUGCUAGCUACUUUGGCUGGUUUCUCUGGGUGUUUUGUUGGUGUUUGUGUUUCUGUAUCAAGCCUUACGGCUUGUAGUUCCUGCUUUUUA
rnacentral:lncRNA from 1 species